GACGAACGCUGGCGGCGUGCCUUACACAUGCAAUUCGAACGGUAAGGCCCUGGUUUUGUGGGGUGCUUGAGUGGCGAACGGGUGAGUAAUAAGCGAGUAACAUGCCCUUGACUUUGGGAUAACUUCUGGAAACUGGGGCUAAUACCGGAUAGUAGCCCCUGCUGCAUGGUGGGGGUUGGCAAGUUUCGGCGGUGGGGGCAGGACUCGCGGCUUAUCAGCUUGUUGGUGGGGUAGUGGCUUACUAAGGUUUCGACUGGUAGCCGGCCUGAGCGGCUGACCGGACACAUAGGAACUGAGAUACAGCCCAGACUCCUACGGGAGGCAGCAGUCGGCAAUAGUGCACUAUCGGCCGAAGCCUGAUGCAGCAACGCCGCGAGCGAGAUGGCGACGCUCGGAUUGUAGACCGCUUUCGCAUGUGAGGAACCGGGCGUGACGGUGAUGGGUAUAGAAGCCCCGGCUAACUACGUC
rnacentral:rRNA from 1 species